rnacentral:rRNA from 1 species
UACGUAGGUGGCAAGCGUUGUCCGGAAUUAUUGGGCGUAAAGCGCGCGCAGGCGGUUCUUUAGGUCUGAUGUGAAAGCCCACGGCUCAACCGUGGAGGGUCAUUGGAAACUGGAGAACUUGAGUACAGAAGAGGAAAGCGGAAUUCCACGUGUAGCGGUGAAAUGCGUAGAGAUGUGGAGGAACACCAAUGGCGAAGGCAGCUUGCUGGGACGGUACUGACGCUGAGGCGCGAAAGCGUGGGGAGCAAACAGG